UAAAACCAGCACCUCAAGUGGUCAGGAUGAUUAUUGGGCCUAAAGCAUCCGUAGCCUGCUCUGUAAGUUUUCGGUUAAAUCUGUAUGCUCAACAUACAGGCCGCCGGAAAUACUGCAGGGCUAGGGAGUGGGAGAGGUAGACGGUACUCGGGAGGAAGUGGUAAAAUGCUUUGAUCUUUCGAUGACCACCUGUGGCGAAGGCGGUCUACCAGAACACGUCCGACGGUGAGGGAUGAAAGCUGGGGGAGCAAACCGGAUUAGAUACCCGGGUAGUCCCAGCCGUAAACUAUGCAAACUCAGUGACGCAUUGGCUUGUGGCCAAUGCAGUGUUGCAGGGGAGCCGUUAAGUUUGCCGCCUGGGAAGUACGUACGCAAGUAUG
rnacentral:rRNA from 2 species